UCUCCACUUGUUCCUAACCCACUGAGAAAUCGGCUCAUUAUUGACUCAGAGGGAUGAACGCCAGAUCCUGACUCACCGGUAACCACUUCCUGCAGAAAUCCUCCAGCCCUGUUAGAAAUGCCUCAGCCAGGGGGACUCAUCUCCUCAAACCUGGGGGACCGAGACCUAUGAGAGGUCACAGCAUGAGCCAGGACAUCGGAGGUACCCAGACAUUGUUAUGAAACUCCGCAUGUGCCCCUGGUGGACGCUGCUGGACCCAGCAUGCACACUUCUCGGCUAAGAGUCACCCUGGAUGAACCACCAUUGCCAGCGGGGAGCAUGUUGCAGCUUUCCCACGCAGUGGAUGAGAACGAAGGUUACGACCAUUGUGUGGGAGGCGUCUGUGUAGCAAUUGCUGGAAUCACUUGUGGCAUUGUAGAAAGACUGAGCGUGGGAAAGAAGACGCAUUCUGAAGUCACCCCGAUUUAUGUUAAAUUAUCACCUUGACUACUGCUAUAGAACGAAUGUUUAUGUCCCCCACCCAAAUUCGUAUGCUAAGACCUAAUAGCCAAUAAGAUAGUAUUAAUAGAUGGGGCCUUUGGGAGGUGAGUGGCUCAUGAGGGCAGAGUCCUCAAAACCAGAUAAGUGCCCGAAUAAAAGGGGCCCCAGAGAGAUCCCUUGCACCGUCUACCAUGUGAAGUGUAGAACACAGCGAGAAGGCCACCUAUGAGCCAGAACGUGGGCCCUCACCAGAACCCAGUUGUGCUGGCACCCUGAUCCUGGACUUCCAGCCUCCAAAAUGACGACAAAGAAGUUUGUUUUUCCUGAGCCAUCCACUUCAAAGUAUUCUGUCAUAGCUCCCCAAAUAGACUAAGACAUCUACUUAACCUUGGUCAAACGUUUAACCUUGGAGUCCACGCCUCUGAAAUGGUGACAAUAACACUGUGUAUUUCCUACUUUAUGAUCAGGAUUAAUAAAUAAUGCAGAGGAUAAAGCAAGCAAACAAAAAAACUUCCAGAAGAAUCACAGAGUUUUAGACCUAGAAAAAAACUGAAAAAUCAUCCAUUCCACUCUCCUCAUUUUACAGAUGAGGGCAUCGAGCCUCAGAGAAAUGAAACUUGCCCAAGACCACACAGCAAUAUUGAAUGCCCAGGUUUCCUGUUUGGAAAAGCCCGAGGAUCUGUGCACACUCUGGGCUACUCUUGCCCAGCUCCUGACUGAGGCACUGGACCUGGCCCGAUGCUGCUCUCUGCUGCUGCCCAGCUCUUCUGCUCCACCGGCAACACUGUACCCAGUUAAUCAUUAGGGCCCUUGUCUCUGUACAAUUGCUCUGUACAACUCGAUAAAAUAAUCCAUGCUAACAAAAGUCUAGAAUGGAAGGUGCCUGCUAUGGUUUGAAUGUUUGUCCCCUCCCAAAUUCAUGAUGAAAUUUAAGCCGUAUUAGAAAGUGGGACUUUUGAGAGGUGAUAAGGCCAUGCAGGGCCCCCCUCAUGGGUGGGAUUGGUGCUGGUAUAAAAGGGUGAGCUUAGCCCCCUGCCUCUCUCACCUCCUCACCUUCUGCCAUGUGAUGAUGCAGCAAGAAGGCUCUCGCCAGAUGUCGGCACCUUACUAUUGGCCUUCCCAACUUUCGGGACUAUGAGCCAAUACAUUUCUGCUUAUUGUAAAUUACCUAGUUUCAGCUAUUCUGUCAUAGCAGCACACAACAGACUAAGACGCUCUUCAACUCACUCCUCACAAUCCUGUGUUGUUCUAGGAAAAACUGUGUAAUUUAACAUUGCCUCUUUAGAGACAACGUCCCUCCUCUAUCUCUCAGAAAGAGGCUUUCUCAGUAAAGAGGAGGAGGAUGUUGGGUGGGGGAGAGGGUUGGGAGUACUUUGGUUUUUCCCACCGGUAUGGCCAUGAGAUCCCUCUGUUUGCAGCACCUCGGCAUCUGCCUGCCUACUCCUGAGUUGGGCCCUGUGGUCAUGAAUUCUUCUGUCAAAUAACUAUUCCUAAAAACAAGCAUGCAUGACUAACCAUGAGACAAUUGCAGUGAUGCAAGUGUAUGUGACUUAUCUCAUCUACCCAGUGUGACAGCUUGACACUCAAGGGGGAGAUUUUCACCAUCGAUUCCCAGAACAAAGAAUUUAGAGUAAUGCUGGAGGCUGAGGCAGGAGAAUGGCGUGAACCCGGGAGGCAGAGCUUGCCAUGAGCUGAGAUAGCGCCACUGCACUCCAGCCUGGGCGACUGAGGGAGACUCCAUCCCCCCCAAAAAAAAGAAUUUAGAGUAAUGAACAUUUAUGUAUGGGUGGCCCUGUGAUGUCUCUGAUAACAUCCCUUGUUUGGCCAAAUUCUCGGACUCUAAAAGACAGUAUUGGCUCUGCAGGCUUUCUGGGCUCAGCGAACCUGCAAUACCAAAGUUCCACAUUUUGGGGAGUACUACCUCAUCUGUGUAAGUACAGUUCUGAAAAUUAUUGUAAAAUGUGUUCUACAAAUAAUGGGGU
rnacentral:lncRNA from 10 species